rnacentral:lncRNA from 1 species
UGAUUUCUUCAUUUGUUACUCUAUGUUUUAAAUACUCCCUUUACUUGUUUUUGUGUGUGGGCCUGAUCUUCUUUACCUGAUAUGAUGGUUUCUCUCUAGUUUUAUGUGUUAUCCAUGACUACUUAACUUUAUUUAUUUCCAUGCUUUCAGUAGUCCUUAGCCUACUUAUAUCACUUCUGUAUGUUUGUGUUCAUCUAGUUUGCUUCUUUUGUCAAUAUGAUUGACCUUGCAUGCCUGAUACGCCUGAUCCUUCUUCCCUAUUUAUAUGUCGAAGUGCAGAAUCAUGACUUCCCUUUGAUUUAUCUCGAUUUCAUUAAGUUUUGGUUUGAUUGCAUGGUUUUCUUCUAAACCUCUAAAUUUUACUCAUUUGUUUAAAGUUGAUUGAUUCCAUUUCCUUAUUUACGGUGAUGCUUAAUUUUUACUGAAUUAUUUCCACGAAUUAAGUAUAUUAUGUACUUAGACUCAAUUAUAUACUCUAUUCUUUUAUCUCCCCUUAUAUGGUAAAAAUCAAUCUUUCUCAAACUGGUUUUCUUUCCUUAAUUAUCCCUGUUAGUAUAUGUUAAGCUGUAAUUCCUUGUUUAAAAGGGAGUACUUGUAUUAAUGGAAUUCUAACUAUGACUACUUCCAUAUUUGUGCUAAAUCUUUACUUGCUAUCUUAUUUCUACCAAUUUUUUCAAAGCUAUAAAUACCCUUCCCUCUCUUAUUUAAACACACGAACAAUUAGUUCAGAACGCACACAUAUACACUCAAACUCUCACUCUCUCUUCUUUCUCUACUAUUUGUGCUACUGCCUUGUCUAGCCGGCUGAGAGCCAAGGCUAUAGUAUAGAACUCUGAUUUCUUACUUUUUUGGCACUUUGCUUCUUUAACUGGUAUGUCCCUAGUUCAAAUUUUAAAACUCAACUCUAGGUGUUCCCUUGUUUGUUAAUCCCUGUCUCAUUAUGCACUAAUUUAAUGCUCAUGCUAUUAAAUUGCACUUUGCUAAAAUUCUGCCCUCCCUUGUUCAAAUAUAAUCAGCAUGCUCACUUGCUCCUG